AAAUACUUUAAUAAGGAUAAACAUGGUGGCUAUCUCUGGAGAAUUUGUGAAGAUUUUGGUGUCUGCCUUUGUGAUGUUGAUUGUUAUUUGUUCUGCAAGGUAUGAAGAGUACGAAGGAUAUGAACGAUACGAAAAAUGUAAGUCUUCAAUAUGUAAUAAUGGCUAAACUUUAUAGAUUAUAUUUCAUAUGCGAUCCAAAAAUGAUACUAUACAAAUAUAGCCUUUGUAUGAGGUCGAUACAAGGAUAUAUUGACCUGAAAGAAGUAUAUUGACUGAGAACGAAGUCCGAGGUCGAUAUACUUCUUUGGAUCGAUAUUAUAUCCUGUAUUGACCUCAUACAAAGGCUAUAUUUGUUAUAUUAUUAAUUGCUGACCAUAUUUGUAUCAAAAUCGUCAUUUAAGUUUGUUGGAAUUAUAUAGAUAUUACAUUGUCUUCUUGACAAUAACAACAUAUUAGUUGUUAUUUCAUUUACUUUUUUUUUAUGACAUCUUAUGUAUUCGAAGAUUUUUUUUCGUCAAAUAAUCGAUCACAGAUAUCAUGUGUUUCAAAACGUUAAACAAUAUCCUGAAAUUCAUUACAUGACGUCACAAAGUGUAUUGGUUUUUAGAUAUUCUGAAAAUAACCGUGCAAUAUGCUUUUUGCAGGUCAAUAUGCGUUUUGCUAUCCGCCGUUUUCUCUCUACCUUCGAAAAUAUAGUUUAACAUGUGACUAUCCCUAAACGAAUCAAAUUUGUUAAAAUAUACGAAUUAAUAAUAUAAAAAGUACCGACUGUCACCUAUAAAUGUUUAAUAAUAGAAUCGAUACGUAAUGUCUCUUCAGUGAUGACCGAGGGAAAACUGUUUGAAAAUCCGAAACCAAAUUCAAACGAAAGCAGAACAACUAAAAGGAUCUAAGUAUAAACAAAACUGGACAUGAUGGAGAUACGUUUAAUAAAUUUAAUUGAUUUCUAAAUUUUUCUAGUAGAUAAAUUUCAAUCGUAAUAUACUGUAGUUUUGGACAAUCGGUCUUUUUAUGGGUAGAGCUGUCCUUUUUUGUCUAUUAAUUUUUUUAUCAUUAUGGUCAACAAUUGAAUUGAAUGUCCAACUCCAUUAAAAGAAUUCAUAUGCAUAUAUCGAAAAUAUGCGUAAUUAGUAAGAGAUUAUGUCAAAAUUUGGUAACGCUACUUUUUUCGGUUAUUCAAACAGGCAGGUGAACAUGUAUACUUCUUUGUCACAAACUAGUACACUUUCCUUACGAAACAGCAUGUAAGAAUUGUGGAACAAGGCAAACAUAAAAUUUUGAUUAAAAUUAUGCUGAAAUUAUAAUAUCCCUUUAUUGUUUUACACGACAAAACUAGAGGAUAAGGUUAAAACCCUUCAAUAUCUAUUUCUGUAACAAAACAUUCAAGUUUUGAUAUUCGAAUUUAUCAAAUUGGUAAUUUUUUCUUAACAGCAAGAACUUAAAAAUCAAACUGUGAGUAUACGUCCAACCUUUUUUUUUUUUUUAGGUUAAAACCAAAUAUUGGCAAUUCAUGUUUCAAAACUAAUAUUCACCACAUACCAGAACGGCAGAUGCUGUAGGAUAUGUGUGCGUCUCUGAUUGCCAAUACAAAACAAUAUGUUGUGCAAUCUUGUACAGCAGCUUUUGAUUUGUAUGAUGGUUGGUAAUUUUUUUUACCAACCUCUGGUACAAAUUGUGUCUAUAGAGUUCUAAGUUUUAUACUGAACCACGAAACUAGAAAUAUAAAGACCAUUAUGUGAUAAUACAUUAUCGAACUAGAAAAAUACAUUAUAUGACAUAGUUGAUCGUUUAGGCUUGAUAACUUUAUUACUAUGAAUCUGAUCGCUUUUAUCCUAUACAUGUCUUAAUAAUUGUAACAUGUAGAACUAUGACAUGGUAUUCAUUUUAUUUUUCAGAGCCUUGAGCAUGUUGAGUUGAAUCAACAUAAAAGACGAUUUCUGAAGAAGGAUCGGUGAUCGAACAAAAUCUGUAUAUCAUUAAGAAAUCCAUCGAUAGUUUCAUCAAUCAUAUCAAAUAAAAUUUAUAGAAG
rnacentral:lncRNA from 1 species